rnacentral:sRNA from 1 species
GUUAUGACAUGCUGUUUGUGGGCCGGUUUAUAUGAUAAUGUCCGAGCCGAUUUUGAUACUCAGUCCGCCCCAGUGUUGUACAUAUGCAUAUGUGUGUAAGUGUGGGGGGGAGGGUAGGUGUGGUGCAUGUGUUCUAAAUAUGCGUGGGGGGGGGAGGAAUUUAGGUGUGGUGCAUGUGUUGUACAUAUUCAGAUGUGUGAAGAUUUGCACGUGAGUAUAAUUGUGUUGUACAUAUGCAUGUGUGUGUAAGUGGAGGUGUUGUGCAUAUGCAGGUGUGCGUGUGUGGUGAGGGUUGGCGUGGUGCAUGUGUUGUACAUGUAGGGUGGAGAAUUAGGUGUGGUGCAUUUUUAUGCGGAUGCAUAUUCCGGAUUUUGUGUGUGUGGGGGGGGUAGAUGUGGAGCAUGUGUUGUACAUAUGCCGGUGUGUGUGCGUGUGGUGAAUAUGUUGUACAUAUGUUUGGUAGUUAGGUGUGGUGCAUGUGUAGGUGUGGUUCUUGUCCGGUCCUGAAUAGCCACCACACCUACACAUGCACAUGCAACACACAUGAACCACACCUACACACAUGCAACAUGAACCACACCUACACAUGCACAUUCAACACACAUGAACCACACCUAAAAAUGAAACACACUUACACAUGCACAUGCAACAAACAUGCACCACACCUACACGCACAUACACACGUCUGCAUACAACACAUGGACCACAUCUACACAUGAAACACACACAAACAAAUGCAACACACAUGAACCACACCUACACAUGCACCACACCUAACCCCCAAACAUGUGUACAACAUAUUCACCACACCUAACCCCGCGCACACACACACACAAGCACACC